UAAACGAUGAGUGCUAAGUGUUAGGGGGUUUCCGCCCCUUAGUGCUGCAGCUAACGCAUUAAGCACUCCGCCUGGGGAGUACGGUCGCAAGACUGAAACUCAAAGGAAUUGACGGGGGCCCGCACAAGCGGUGGAGCAUGUGGUUUAAUUCGAAGCAACGCGAAGAACCUUACCAGGUCUUGACAUCCUCUGACAAUCCUAGAGAUAGGACGUCCCCUUCGGGGGCAGAGUGACAGGUGGUGCAUGGUUGUCGUCAGCUCGUGUCGUGAGAUGUUGGGUUAAGUCCCGCAACGAGCGCAACCCUUGAUCUUAGUUGCCAGCAUUCAGUUGGGCACUCUAAGGUGACUGCCGGUGACAAACCGGAGGAAGGUGGGGAUGACGUCAAAUCAUCAUGCCCCUUAUGACCUGGGCUACACACGUGCUACAAUGGACAGAACAAAGGGCAGCGAAACCGCGAGGUUAAGCCAAUCCCACAAAUCUGUUCUCAGUUCGGAUCGCAGUCUGCAACUCGACUGCGUGAAGCUGGAAUCGCUAGUAAUCGCGGAUCAGCAUGCCGCGGU
rnacentral:rRNA from 2 species